rnacentral:lncRNA from 1 species
AUGUCCUGCAGAAUUGAAAUUCAAGCAGCAUUUCUUCUUUCCUCCUUUGUGACCUUCUUCACUGGACUUCUCAUCUUAUCCGUUAUUAGAAUAAGCUGGAGAGUCAUUGAAAAAAGGCAAAGCUUCAAGAGAGCAGGAAUUGUGCAGGAACUACUCUCAUCGGACUUCGUUACCCAUAGUCCUUUAAGAAGACUUUCCUCUUAUGGAGUAUUUCGCAAUCAAAUAGAAAUGUUGCUUUCCGCGCAAACUUUUGUGGGGCAAGUACUGGUAAGUGCAUUCCCCUUGUUAGCUUGCUAAGGCAUUCGAGCGUGACCCUGAGCGUGUCGGUGUGGGCACUCUCACAACCUCAGCAAGCAUUCCCGGCUCCCUGGUGGUCUUAUCUCCUUGUCAGGACUCACCUUCCUCUAUCCGUUGCUCUCAAGCAUUCUCUGCUUGUGAAACAUAAACCCUCAAAAGCUCCUUGAUGUUUAGUGAACUAAUCUGACCUGAAGCACAUGGCUACUUUCUCCUCCUCU